rnacentral:rRNA from 1 species
AACUAACGCUGGCGGCGCGUCUUAAACAUGCAAGUCGAGCGGUAAGGCCCGCAAGGGUACACGAGCGGCAAACGGGUGAGUAACACGUAGGUAAUUUCCCCUUCAGUGGAGGACAACCUGUAGAAAUGCAGGUUAAUACUCCAUACUCUCGGUUCCUCCACGGAGGUUCCGACGAAAGCAGCAAUGCGCUGAGGGAUGAACCUGCGGCUGAUUAGCUUGUUGGCGGGGUAACGGCCCACCAAGGCGACGAUCAGUAGCCGGCCUGAGAGGGUGUACGGCCACACUGGGACUGAGACACGGCCCAGACUCCUACGGGAGGCAGCAGUUAAGAAUCUUGUGCAAUGGGCGAAAGCCUGACACAGCGACGCCGCGU